AACGAACGCUGGCGGCAGGCCUAACACAUGCAAGUCGAGCGCUUUCCUUCGGGAAGGAGCGGCGGACGGGUUAGUAACGCGUGGGAAUAUACCCAGUUCUAAGGAAUAGCCUCUGGAAACGGAGAGUAAUACCUUAUACGCCCUUCGGGGGAAAGAUUUAUCGGAAUUGGAUUAGCCCGCGUUAGAUUAGAUAGUUGGUGGGGUAAUGGCCUACCAAGUCUACGAUCUAUAGCUGGUUUGAGAGGAUGAUCAGCAACACUGGGACUGAGACACGGCCCAGACUCCUACGGGAGGCAGCAGUGGGGAAUCUUAGACAAUGGGCGCAAGCCUGAUCUAGCCAUGCCGCGUGAGUGAUGAAGGUCUUAGGAUCGUAAAGCUCUUUCAACUGUGAAGAUAAUGACGGUAGCAGUAGAAGAAACCCCGGCUAACUCCGUGCCAGCAGCCGCGGUAAUACGGAGGGGGUUAGCGUUGUUCGGAAUUACUGGGCGUAAAGCGUAGGUAGGCGGAUUAAUAAGUAAGAGGUGAAAUCCCAGGGCUCAACCCUGGAACUGCCUUUUAAACUGUUAGUCUGGAGAUCGAGAGAGGUGAGUGGAACUCCAAGUGUAGAGGUGAAAUUCGUAGU
rnacentral:rRNA from 1 species